AUCUUCCUUUAUAGUUGUUGCCCAACGGCCUGGUGGGCGUUCUUUGCUCGGGGGAUGCAAAUCAAGUCACUGAAAAAAAAGUACAUAAGAGAUUCUUAGUAAUACGUCGCCACCCAUAGCAUAUUUUAGCACCGUCUUACGGUCUCUGCGAGAAAUCCUCUGCUGUAAACAGCGUUGCGAUGUCGUUUGCGAGAUUAGCAUUCAUCUCAAUGCUCGCUCUCACAUUCCUAAUGAAAAAUAUCUCAAGUGCACCCGGUGACACGACGCCCAAAGAAGAAGAUUGCGUGGGUCAACCAUGCACCUACAACCGCCGGGCGUGCCGGCCACCCUGCAUAUGUUCAACAUACAUUAUAAACGGACAAGUGCGGGGGAUAUGCGUCCUUAAUGGUACCCAAGCAGAUUGACCUACCACAUCACAUUCCCGGAUGUAGGGAAACCCCAGGCAAUAAAGAUUUCUAGACCUUUUAGGGAAAAGUUCAUGUGACUCCUUUAAACUUUAGCGGUGGCCGA
rnacentral:lncRNA from 1 species